rnacentral:lncRNA from 1 species
CUGACAUCUCAUACAUUAUGGAAGGAACUCCGGGUUCUACUCUGAAUGACACGGGAAGCCACUGGAUGGUUUUAAGCAGAGAAGUACGUAGUGAUUUUCAAAAGAAACAUUCUGGGAGACUAGACAGGAGGCUCUGUGUGGAAGGGCUUGGAGGGUGGAUCCCUCUGUUGGGCCUGCUUGCUUGAAUUUCCCUCAUCUGGACUGGUGGAUUCCUCAAGCCUCAUCCUGAUGCUAUGCCCCACCCUCACGACCCUGACCCUCGAAGGAAAAGGUGGAGAGAACCUGAGACUGUAGAAAGGAACGUGGAACACGGAGGACUCAUUGCCAUGCCCAGGAUACCCUCUGCACAGGGAACGUGGAGCUCCGGGAACCAGAGGCUACACCAGUAUCAGCCGCAUCCGUGCACACUUGUCUGCACUUGAGGCCUGGGGCAGCUACUGCGUGUGUGUGUGUUGGAGGGGGACGGAGGAUGUUGGAGAGAGAAAGCCUUCAAUCCCAUCAGGAGCUUCUGUCCGCGUUCACACGGAAGGAUCUGGGGGGCACUGAAGCACAUCCAUAAAUUUUAUUUGAAAAUACUGUGUAUGCAGUAUAAAUGCAGUGGGGAAAAAAGACUGGAAGAAAAUAUUCUGAAACGUUAACAGUGGUUAUGUCUUGCGGUGGGAUCAAGGAUUUUUAUACUUUCAUGUGUUUUCCAAAUUUUUUACACCGAACACGUGUUAG